rnacentral:rRNA from 1 species
UACAUGGGUGGCGAACGUUAUCCGGAUUUAUUGGGCGUAAAGGGUGCGUAGGUGGUUGAAUAAGUUACUGGUGGUAAAUCAGAGCUCAACUCUGUGGAAGCCAGUAAGGCGGUAGCAAUACUGUCUGAAAAUACUAUUGAAGCUAGGAGGGUCGGAGAGGUUAACGGAAUUCUAUGUGUAGCGGUAAAAUGCGUAUAUAUAGAGGAACACCAU